rnacentral:rRNA from 1 species
GAUGAACGCUGGCGGCGUGUCUAAGGCAUGCAAGUCGAACGGACUGUUAUUUGUAGCAAUACUUAGAACAGUUAGUGGCAAACGGGUGCGUAACACAUUGGUAACCUGCCUCAAAGUCGGGCAUAAUCCCGCGAAAGUGGGACUAAUUCCACGAUAGUCAUCGAAGGUGAGAUUCCUUCGAUGUAAAGUCGCAAGACGCUUUGAGAGGGGCCUAUGGCCUAUCAGCUUGUUGGUGAGGUAACGGCUCACCAAGGCUAUGACGGGUAGGGGGUGGGAGAGCACGACCCCCCUCACUGGGACGUGAGACACUGCCCACGACACCUACGGGUGGCUGCAGUCGAGAAUAUUCCCCAACUGGCCGAAAGGACGUGAGGGAGCGACGCCGCGUGCA